GGGUAGCGGCCGGUACUGCAGGGCACGAACGGUGGGCGGCGGUUCCGGGCUGGGCCCGCCCGUGUGGGACGGCGGUACCGGGAGCGCCUGGGCCCGGAGCUGCCCUGCCCGGGACCUGCAGUCUCCGGGCCCCGUGAGAUGAUGGAGCAGCCGAACGGAUGUGGAGACCGCAGCCGCGCUGAAGGUCACUGGGAAGCAUGGGACAAGACCUGAACGAUAACUUCUUACAAGACCUGAAUGAUAACUUCUUGCAAGGUGCAGCGGGGAGAGAAGCAGCAAGUUGUGCUGGAACAGUUUCUGGAGAAAUGCGACACAAAAGGUUAAAUCUGUGCCUGAGCUGAGAGAGGAUGGAAUCUGCUGGGACGGCUUAGCCUGGAAGAGAGCUGUCAUGGAGAUGGUCCAGACUCUGGUUUUCCUGCAGUCUGCUGGUUUACACGAGACCCCAAAGUGUUUCCUUAAAGCACUUCAAAGGAAUUUCAGCUGAUGGGUCAGAAGUUGCUGUUGGCUGCCAUCACAAAGACACACAGAGGACAUUUGAAGUUUUCCCUGUUGUGUGCCUAGUGAGCCAACAGGGAGCAGGUGUUCCCUGUGGAGCUGUGGGGUUUUCAGCCUGGCCAGUGCCUCUGUACCAGCAGCAGGGCUGCACCUGGAAGCCAGAGCCAGUGCAUGGCCAGAGGAGCUCGACAGGCAGACAGGUCCUGACUUCUUUACACAGGUGUGUGUUUACUCUGUCUAGCCCUAACCUCUGCUCUGGUAUGCAUUAAAUAUUGCUUGUUUAUCCAAGGUGAUAAGCACUGCUGUUGACAAAAGCCUUGGGAAAUUAUGCAAUAGUCAGGAACUCCUUCUUUAUGUCCCAGAGCAGAUCUCUCAGCCACUGUGCUGAUCUUUGGGAUGGGCUUGCUGUGACAGGCCAGAGAGGAAGACCCCAGCCUCACUGGUGUGUCUGAGCACCCCGUAAGCUUGGAUGUGUAGGCUUCCGUGGCAGUUAGAGCAAGUUCUGGCUGUGGUUCUGUGGGUACCGGUGCAGCCAUCAAAAGUGUUUAGGCACUUCCACUAAUUAGGUGGAAUCUGUUGGUGGAAAUUAGGGAGAUUAGUAAGAUGAGGAUUUGUCCUUUCUCUGCUGUUCUAGUUAUUGGGGGUGUGGAGGGAGGGGAGGGGGGAGAAGGUUUCCACCAGUAAAACCAAGCCCAAUUUUGUUUCAAAUGGUAGGACAGGCUAAGGCAGGUCUGAAGUUCACUAUAGCUUUUCUUUGUGUUUAUUAGCUGUUACUUACAAAAGACCAAUUAGUAUAAUUAUUGCUUCCCUCGCUCCCUGAGAUCCAGCUCCUUAAGUCUUAGCUGUGGUAACACAGACAAAUCAUUCCCAUUCAGUGCAUGACCUGUGGAUGGUUUUAAAUGCCUAAAAAUGGCAUGAUUUCCUGUGGUGCACGUUCCCCAGGACCAGGCUGCUGGCUGUGACUCUAUGUGGGAAAGCACAUGGACAACAAGGAGAAAUGCAGAGCGUCUUUUAUUUUCUCCUUCUUUGCUGUAAGUUAUCCUAGUGAAGUAUGAGUUAGGAGAGCUGAGUAUGUUUCAUGGAGUGCAUGAUUUGUACAAUUUCAGUGACAUAACAGCUGUGAAUAACAGCCAGGUACUUGUGCUGUGGGGCAAAAGAAAACCUACAUGUCUUCCUUGUCCAGAGGAAUUUUGAUCAAUUUCAUUACCCUGGGAAAUAGAAGCCAAGUCUAAAAAUCAUAGAAUGGAAUCGUGGAAUAGGCAGGGUUGGAGAGGACCUUUAAAAGUUACGAGUCCCACCCCCCUGCCAUGAGCAGGGACACGUUUCUUACAGUGUUCCUGAAUUAUUCUUCCUUCCUGUCCAUGAUUACAAGAGAGAAAUCCCAGUGUUUGAGGUGGGUGUUGUUCAUUCCCCCUUCAAAUUUGAUUUGCAAGAAUGGUUAAUUGCAUCUGUUUGCAGCACCAAGUGCUGCUGGACUUGGAGCGGAGCUGUGUGCAGGUUUGGGUUGAUAAAGGAGAUUUUGGUGGCCAUAAGGCACAUCUUGACUUUCCAAGAGAAGUCAGGGGGGUUACAGUGGAUUUUGGGGUAGCUCAGCAGGAUUGAGCUCAAUUUUCAAGGACUUUGGAGUGUACGGAAGGUGGGGCCACAUUUGAGGCAUAAGAGGGCCUAAAGCAAACCCCAGAUAAUUUAGACCUU
rnacentral:lncRNA from 14 species